rnacentral:rRNA from 1 species
UACGGGGGGGGCAAGCGUUGUUCGGAAUUACUGGGCGUAAAGGGCUCGUAGGUGGCCAACUAAGUCAGACGUGAAAUCCCUCGGCUUAACCGGGGAACUGCGUCUGAUACUGGAUGGCUUGAGUGUGGGAGAGGGAUGCGGAAUUCCAGGUGUAGCGGUGAAAUGCGUAGAUAUCGUUUGGAACGCCAAUGGUGAAAACAGCUUGCUGGGGGUGUGCUGACGCUGAGACACGAAAGCCAGGGGAGCAAACGGG